rnacentral:rRNA from 1 species
ACGAACGCUGGCGGCGUGCUUCACACAUGCAAGUCGCACGGUGAAGCACCUUCCUUUUGGUGGGUGUGGAUGAGUGGCGAACGGGUGAGUAACACGUGAGUAACCUGCCCCCUUCUUCUGGAUAACCGCAUGAAAGUGUGGCUAAUACGGGAUAUUCUGGGUCUGUCGCAUGGCGGGCCUGGGAAAGAUAUUGUUUCGGUGGGGGAUGGGCUCGCGGUCUAUCAGCUUGUUGGUGGGGUGAUGGCCUACCAAGGCGGUGACGGGUAGCCGGCCUGAGAGGGUGGACGGUCACACUGGGACUGAGACACGGCCCAGACUCCUACGGGAGGCAGCAGUGGGGAAUAUUGCACAAUGGGCGCAAGCCUGAUGCAGCGACGCCGCGUGAGGGAUGGAGGCCUUCGGGUUGUAAACCUCUUUCGCCAGUGAAGCAGGCCUGUCCCUUUUGUGGGUGGGUUGACGGUAGCUGGAUAAGAAGCGCCGGCUAACUACGUG